rnacentral:rRNA from 1 species
GACGUAGGGCGCGAGCGUUGUCCGGAUUUAUUGGGCGUAAAGAGCUCGUAGGCGGCUUGUCGCGUCGUCUGUGAAAUCCCGCGGCUCAACCGCGGGUCUGCAGUCGAUACGGGCAGGCGUAGAGUUCGGUAGGGGAGACUGGAAUUCCUGGUGUAGCGGUGAAAUGCGCAGAUAUCAGGAGGAACACCGGUGGCGAAGGCGGGUCUCUGGGCAUUAACUGACGCUGAGGAGCGGAAAGCAUGGGGAGCAAACAGG